GCGGCGCAUUAGCUAGUUGGUAGGGUAAAGGCUUACCAAGGCAAUGAUGCGUAGCCGAAUUGAGAGGUUGAUCGGCCACAUUGGGACUGAGACACGGCCCAAACUCCUACGGGAGGCAGCAGUAGGGAAUCUUCCACAAUGGGCGAAAGCCUGAUGGAGCAACGCCGCGUGGGUGAAGAAGGUCUUCGGAUCGUAAAACCCUGUUGUUAGAGAAGAAAGUGCGUGAGAGUAACUGUUCACGUUUCGACGGUAUCUAACCAGAAAGCCACGGCUAACUACGUGCCAGCAGCCGCGGUAAUACGUAGGUGGCAAGCGUUAUCCGGAUUUAUUGGGCGUAAAGGGAACGCAGGCGGUCUUUUAAGUCUGAUGUGAAAGCCUUCGGCUUAACCGGAGUAGUGCAUUGGAAACUGGGAGACUUGAGUGCAGAAGAGGAGAGUGGAACUCCAUGUGUAGCGGUGAAAUGCGUAGAUAUAUGGAAGAACACCAGUGGCGAAAGCGGCUCUCUGGUCUGUAACUGACGCUGAGGUUCGAAAGCGUGGGUAGCAAACAGGAUUAGAUACCCUGGUAGUCCACGCCGUAAAC
rnacentral:rRNA from 1 species